UGGGGUUGCUGUUGCUGCAUUUAGGGGAGGGGGCAUAGGGUACCCGUUUUUGGAGCCAAAUUUUUUUGCUCUCCAAAUUUCUAGGUAGCCAGGAAUGUUAGGCUCCGAUGGCUCCGAU
ensembl:ncRNA T22B11.7 ncRNA